rnacentral:rRNA from 1 species
GUGCACGCUGGCGGUAGGCCUAACCCAUGCAAGUCGAACGGCAGCACAGUAAGAGCUUGCUCUUACGGGUGGCGAGUGGCGGACGGGUGAGGAAUACAUCGGAAUCUACUUUUUCGUGGGGGAUAACGUAGGGAAACUUACGCUAAUACCGCAUACGACCUACGGGUGAAAGCAGGGGAUCUUCGGACCUUGCGCGAUUGAAUGAGCCGAUGUCGGAUUAGCUAGUUGGCGGGGUGAAGGCCCACCAAGGCGACGAUCCGUAGCUGGUCUGAGAGGAUGAUCAGCCACACUGGAACUGAGACACGGUCCAGACUCCUACGGGAGGCAGCAGUGGGGAAUAUUGGACAAUGGGCGCAAGCCUGAUCCAGCCAUACCGCGUGGGUGAAGAAGGCCUUCGGGUUGUAAAGCCCUUUUGUUGGGAAAGAAAAGCAGCAGGUUAAUACCCCGCUGUUCUGACGGUACCCAAAGAAUAAGCACCGGCUAACUUCGUG